ensembl:lncRNA
GCCUACUUGUCCUCUUUGGUCUUUGACAGGAUGAAGGGGGGAGCCCAAGCAGCGUGUCCCAGUCCUGCUCAUUGCCUGAUUUCACACUUGCAGCUGAGGUCCUCAGAUCGCUGGCUGAAAACCAGAAGGCAGGAUAUGUGGGAAAACAAUAUUGUGAAGCUCUUAAUGUUCCCUUUGAAGAGAGCAUCAGGAUAGACCCCAAUCUUUUCCUGGAUUCUGGUGAACCACAAAAGUCCUGCCUGCAUGUGCUUACUUGCCUUCCAGCAAGUGCUGCCCUAGGACAGGUCCAUUCUGUCCUGGCUGAUGGCCUCCAGCAGCUGAGGAUCUUCAAUACUGUGAAAUUCUGAAAAAAAUUAUCAGGACUUAGCAAGGAUUCCUGUUGCUGCUUCAUCUA